AUUGAACGCUGGCGGCAGGCCUAACACAUGCAAGUCGAACGGUAACAGGAAGAAGCUUGCUUCUUUGCUGACGAGUGGCGGACGGGUGAGUAAUGUCUGGGAAACUGCCUGAUGGAGGGGGAUAACUACUGGAAACGGUAGCUAAUACCGCAUAACGUCGCAAGACCAAAGAGGGGGACCUUCGGGCCUCUUGCCAUCGGAUGUGCCCAGAUGGGAUUAGCUAGUAGGUGGGGUAACGGCUCACCUAGGCGACGAUCCCUAGCUGGUCUGAGAUGAUGACCAGCCACACUGGAACUGAGACACGGUCCAGACUCCUACGGGAGGCAGCAGUGGGGAAUAUUGCACAAUGGGCGCAAGCCUGAUGCAGCCAUGCCGCGUGUAUGAAGAAGGCCUUCGGGUUGUAAAGUACUUUCAGCGGGGAGGAAGGGAGUAAAGUUAAUACCUUUGCUCAUUGACGUUACCCGCAGAAGAAGCACCGGCUAACUCCGUG
rnacentral:rRNA from 1 species